AAGGGGUAGGGAGUAAUCCACCCUAGCUUCUAACUAGGGAGAAGGUAGGUUCUCUACCACCCCUUUC
rnacentral:tRNA from 1 species